UGGGGAAUUUUGCACAAUGGGGGAAACCCUGAUGCAGCGACGCCGCGUGAUUUAGAAGGCCUUCGGGUUGUAAAAAUCUUUUUUACGGGAUGAAAAUGACAGUACCGUAAGAAUAAGGUCCGGCUAAAUACGUGCCAGCAGCCGCGGUAAUACGUAUGGACCGAGCGUUGUCCGGAAUCAUUGGGCGUAAAGGGUACGUAGGCGGCCUAGUAAGUUAGAAGUUAAAGAAUAUAGCUCAACUAUAUAAAGCUUUUAAAACUGCUAGGCUUGAGAGAUGGAAGGGAAAGUGGAAUUCCUAGUGUAGCGGUGAAAUGCGCAGAUAUUAGGAAGAAUACCGGUGGCGAAGGCGACUUUCUGGUCAUCAUCUGACGCUGAGGUACGAAAGCGUGGGUAGCAAACAGGAUUAGAUACCCUGGUA
rnacentral:rRNA from 1 species